rfam:Agrilus planipennis Contig17299, whole genome shotgun sequence.
AGGUAACUAAGCAACUUGAGUGAACUUAAUUAACCUUUAAAAACUAUAAAAAUAUCGUAUAUAUCGAAUAGUUUGGUGAAGCAGGACAAUCCCCUCCAGGAGAGUCCUAAAACGGCCUGAGGUAGAGGGGUUUUAGUCGGUAGGUCCGAGGACUUCUUCCUCGGGAAUCCGACACUACCCAGUCGUACGGACGGCUGGGUGUCUUCUGAAGAUUUCCCCUCUUCCACGAAA